UUGUAGAGAUGGGGUUUCAUCAUGUUGGCCAGACUGGUCUCGAACCCCUGACCUCGUGAUUCGCCCGCCUCGGCCUCCCAAAGUGCUGGGUUUACAGGCGUGAGCCACCGCGCCCUGCUUGAAUCCUGAUAUCUUAGCAUUGGAGAGAGAUUUUCCAUGUUAUUAGUCUUCAAAAAUAUUUUAAAUGUUUGUAUAACAUUCCAUCCUAUGAGCAUGUCACAACUUAUUUAAUCAAUUCCAUGUGGCUGGACACUAAGGUUGAUUUCCAGUUUGUUAAAUAUUACUGUGAUGAGCAACCUUUUAAUGUCUACGUCCACAUCUGAUGAUUUCCUUAAGAUAAUUAUCAGAAGGGUGAUAUUUCUGAGUUAAAAAGUAUGAGUUCUUAAGGCUCUUGAUACAGAUUGCCAAACUGCUUUCCAGAAAGUUUCUCCCAGUUUACACUCCCACAACAGCUUCCCAGAGUUGGCAUUAAACACUGAAAGGAGUGUCUCCUGUGAGGCUUCACUAGAAAGCUGGCUGUCCCAUGGGCAGGAGGGAGCUGUGAGAUGUUGUGAGCAUGGUCCCGCAUGCUCAGAACGAGGCCUGGAAGAACCCUCUGGCUGCAGGAUGGAGACAGUGCUGGAGGGGGCAGGUGGGGGACCACUGUGGGGGCUGACACCAUAAUGCAGGGAGAGUCGCCUGAGAGUUGCACGAGGGACUAGAGAGUUGCACAAGGGAUUAGAGAUUUUGUGGGGAGCGCUGGUUUCUGGUUGGAAGGGUUAGGUUUUGAGACUGGCCUGUGGAGCGCUUUGAGCCGUGGUGGGGGCGCUGAGGGUCAGCUGAAGGGUUAUCUUUUUUUUUUUUUUUUGAGAUGGAGUCUUGCUCUGUUGCCCAGGCUGGAGUGCAAUGGCAUGAUCUCGGUUCACUGCAACCUCCGCCUCCCGGGUUCAAGUGAUUCUUCCACCUCAGCCUCCCGAGGAGCUGGGAUUACAGGCACACGACACCAUGCGCGGCUACUUUUUGUAUUUUUGUAGAGACUGGGUUUCACCAUGUUGGCCAGGUUGGUCUUGAACUCCUGACCUCCUCAGAUGAUCCGCCCACCUCGGCCUCCCAAAGUGCUGGGAUUACAGGCGUGAGCCACCAUGCCUGGCCCAGUUGAAGGGUUGUACCUGUUAGCUGCUCUUGCUGCCCCAGGGCAAGGCCGGAUAUGGACUUGGGCUACUGGAGGAGAAAAGCCGUUUUGGAGCAAACAAACUGGUUAAGAGACAGCAGUGGCGUGUGGGAGAAAAGAGCUUGUUCGGGGGCCUUGGCUCUAACACUUAGCUUUCUGUAUCCUCCGGGCCUCAGUUUCUUCAUUCACAAAGGAGGGAUGAAAAGCUGAGCAGAGAAGGGGAGUUGCAGGGAGGCCCUGCAGGGGCGAUGUGGCAGCCCUGGGGAGCAGCAGGCUGGGCCUGGGUUUUGACCCUGGGGCAUGGGACUUCUCAGCUUUUCUCUGGAAGAGGAGCCAGGAACCCCUUUCCGGGGAGCUGACCACAGCUCUGUCCUGGCAGGUACAAUGCCCAGGAGUACUACGAUCGCAUUCCUGAGCUUCGGCAGGUCAUUGAGCAGCUGAGCAGUGGCUUCUUCUCCCCCAAACAGCCCGACCUGUUCAAGGACAUUGUCAAUAUGCUCAUGCACCAUGACCGGUUUAAAGUCUUCGCAGAUUAUGAAGACUACAUUAAAUGCCAGGAGAAAGUCAGCGCCUUGUACAAGAACCCAAGAGAGUGGACGCGGAUGGUGAUCCGGAACAUAGCCACCUCUGGCAAGUUCUCCAGUGACCGCACCAUUGCCCAGUAUGCCCGGGAGAUCUGGGGUGUGGAGCCUUCCCGCCAGCGCCUGCCAGCCCCGGAUGAGGCCAUCUGAGCCUCCAGACCAGACCCCAAACCAGCCCUUGAGUCUGUCACACUCUCUUGGGCCAGCCCCAGCACCUCAUGCAGAGGGUGGGGUACUGGAGUUAGAUCUCUAAGCCCCUCCUGGAACCCUCAUUUUCCCCACUCUCAAUGUCCCAGUGUCCAGCGUGACUAAGGACACGGGCCCCCUUCUGUCCUCGGGCUCCCGGUCCCCUCCUAUUUAUGGGGUCUGACCAACUGCACCCACUCCCCAGUAAAUUCAUUCUCCUUGGGAGCCUCCUUA
rnacentral:sRNA from 1 species